GCACUGGCGGUUCAGCGGUAGAAUUCUUGUCUUCCAAGCAGGAGACCUGGGUUCAACUCCCAGCUGACACA
rnacentral:tRNA from 1 species